rnacentral:tRNA from 1 species
GGUGACUUGGCCGAUCGGUUAGGCGAAGGUCUGCAAAACCUUUUAGAUGGGUUCAACUCCCAUAGUCACCU